rnacentral:lncRNA from 13 species
UGCAAUUACCCAGUGCAAAUUCAUGGACUGAAUCUGCAGAUGUUAUUGUCUAAUACGUUACUGUCUGAUACUCUAGAGAACCAGACUUAGCAUUCUAAACACAAGACACAGGAAACUAGAAUUCGAGGUCUACAUGGAACAGAGAUAUAGGCCACCUUGGGAUAACAUAUGGAGCAGGUAGGAAGAAGAAUUCCAUCUAGUCAUUUGUUCCAGCCAUCAUUCAUUCAGUGGACAUCUUUGGAGGACCUGCUGUGUGCUGGCAUGAUGCAUACACAGAGCUGGCUAGAGCAGUGUCUCAGUCCUACAACUGCAAGAACAAAAUGUUGUCAACAGCAUGAAUUUGGAAGCAGAUUCCUCCCCAGAGCCUCCAAAGAAGAACGUGGCUCCACCAACACCCUGAUUUGGCCUUAUGGAACCUGGAGCAGAGAAACCAAUUGAGCCAAGAUCUGCCCAGACUUCUGACCCAUGGAUGUGGCAAGAUAAUAAAUGAGUGUUGUAGUAAGACUUUAUUUGUGGA